UCCAGUUGAUCCUGCUGGAGGUUGCUGCUAUCAGGAUUCGACUAAGCCAUGCAAGUCAUGGGGCUCUUCGGAGCACCGGCAGAAUGCUCAGUAACACGUCAAUAAUCUGCCCUUGGGUCUGGGAUAACCUCGGAAAACUGAGGCUAACACCGGAUAGAAAAUUUAAUCUGGAAAGAUUUAUUUUCCAAAAGCAAUGCCCAAGGAUGAGUUGGCGGCCGAUUAGGCUGUUGGUGAGGUAAAGGCUCACCAAACCAGAGAUCGGUAGGGGCCUUGAGAGAGGUAGCCCCGAGAAGGGCACUGAGACACUGGCCCUAGCCCUACGGGGUGCAGCAGGCGCGAAACCUUUACAAUGCACGAAAGUGUGAUAAGGGAAUCCUGAGUGCUCAUACUUUGUAUGGGCUUUUGCCAAGAGUAAAUAUCUUGGCGAAUAAGUGGUGGGUAAGACUGGUGCCAGCCGCCGCGGUAACACCAGCGCCACGAGUGGGGACCGAUUUUAUUGGGCCUAAAGCGUUCGUAGCCGGUAUAAUAAAUUCUUUGUGAAAUUGUAAGGCUUAACUUUACAGCGUGCAGAGAACACUGUUAUACUAGGAACCGGGAGGGGUUAGGAGUAUUCUUGGGGGAGCGGUAAAAUGCUAUAAUCCCUUGAAGACUACCUGUGGCGAAGGCGCCUAACCAGAACGGAUUCGACGGUGAGGAAGGAAAGCUGGGGGAGCAAUCCGGAUUAGAUACCCGAGUAGUCCCAGCCGUAAACGCUGCGAGCUAGGUGUUGCAUAUUCUUCGUGAAUGUGCAGUGUCGAAGCGAAGGCGAUAAGCUCGCCGCCUGGGAAGUAUGGUCGCAAGACUGAAACUUAAAGGAAUUGGCGGGGGAGCACUACAAGGGGUGCGGCGUGCGGUUUAAUCUAACUCCACACAGAGAAUCUCACCAGAGGCGACGGCAGGAUGAAAGUCAGUCUGAAGGGCUUACUUGACGAGCCGAGAGGUAGUGCAUGGCCGCCGUCAGCUCGUGCCGUAAGGUAUCCUGUUAAGUCAGGCAACGAGCGAGACCUGUGCUUACAAUUGCUAGCGGCUACUUCGGUAGGACCGAGCACGUUGUGAGAACUGCCUUCGAAAGAAGGAGGAAGGUGCAGGCUACGGUAGGUCUGUAUGCUUCGAAUCCUCUGGGCUACACGCGCGCAACAAUGGUAGGGACAAUGGGAUACGACUCCGAAAGGAGAAGUUAAACCUCUAAACCCUAUCUAAGUCCGGAUUGAGGGCUGUAACUCGCCCUCAUGACGCUGGAAUCCCUAGUAAUCGGAUGUCAACAACGUCCGGUGAAUAUGUCCCUGCUCCUUGCACACACCGCCCGUCAAAUCAACCGAGCAGGGUUUAGGUGAGGCUUAGCCUUUUAGUUAAGUCGAAUCUAAGCUCAGUGAGGUGGGUUAAGUCGUCACAAGGUA
rnacentral:rRNA from 1 species